rnacentral:lncRNA from 1 species
GCUUCCUUGAUGGUUAUCUCUCAUAAAGCUGCAAUUUAAUUGCAGAACUUCCGCCAAUUAUUGCAUACUCCCUUGAUGGCUAUCUCUAAUAAAGGUGAGUUUGAUUGCAGAACUUUCUCAAAGUUUUGCAUGCUCCCUUGAUAGCUAUCUUUAAUAAAGCUCCUUUUAAUUGCAGGACUUCCCCCAAUGAUUUCAUGCUCCCUUGAUGGCUAUACAUUUGUUCAAUCCUGUCCAGUUGGUUGCUGUGGAAGCAGUUGUUGUCCAGAAAACGAAUUGUAAGUAAAGUAACGAAUAAUAGAUGAGAAAAUAGAAAACAUUUAGUUAUUUUUGUCAUUCUUCAACUAAUAACUUCAUGUACAUAUUUAUCGUUUUUCUUAUCUCCUGCACACAAUAUACGAAAGCAUAUAUAAAAAUAGUAGCACUCGGUGCAUACGUCACGGUUUGAAACGCUGACAGUAACUAGGUUAAUUCAUCCGUUACCCAAAGAGUGUUUUCCAAAACUAAUCGAACUUUAACACCAAUUUAACGCAAAUUAAAAAUGUGCAUCUAAUAUUUUUGAAAAUUGUAUGUUAUAUUUUCAUGCUUGAAAUGUGUCGAACAAUUUCUUUUCAUGUUCUAAAAAAGAAGCAACAGAUAUAAAAGCGACAUUCAUUCUAAUGAGUAGAAAUAAACUGACAACGUCAUGGCUUAAAAAGAAAAAAGCCAAACAGCCAAACAAUAGUUCACUAAACACAACAUAGAAAAUUAUAGACUGAUCACAUGAAACCCAUAAAAUCUGAGAGUGAUCUUAGGGUCAACAGAUACGGUCCCACAUAUGCCACCCGUCAUGUUGCUCAUGUUAGUACACAUCUGGUAAUAAGUUUAACUUGAUAGGUCACAUUCGGGGGAAAGGGGUUGGGAUUUUGGUUACGACAUUUGGAGAAUAUCCACUAUAAUUUCUAAAAUAUAUAUUCCUUCCGGUCAACCUACUCGUGAUGGCAUACGUAAAUUUACAAAGAAAUAAUUGCAACUUCACCUCUUUAAACUCUUUGUUUAGAACUUCCUUAUAAGCAAGAAAAUCAUGAUAGGAAAUACAAGCUCUGGAAUAUCGUAACAGCUGUGAGAUAUAUAUACUCCGUUAUCUAAUUUGAGUCAUCUGAAAUCUUAAAGUGUUUUUAAACAUUAUUCAAAUUUCUUUAUAAUUUUAUACAGAUCUAAAAUAUGCAUCUCAAACUGAUGACCGACUUACUUUUCCCCUUCGGUCAUUUUUCUUAUUUAAUACUCUAGCGGUUACAUAGUUUAUAUGUGUAAUCUCUUAUAUAAAAUUUUCCCUACUCUGCAUUUGGGACAUUAAUAUCCCAAUUAUGAUUUCAUUCAGCUAGCUACGAAAAUCGAAGCCUCUAUAAAAUGUAAAUAUUGUCAUGAUUAGUUAUAUCUGGCUUCAUCGCUUUAGAGAUAAAAUCAUUAUUUAGUUUUAGAAUGCAUUCAUGACAUUAUUCACGCCUUGUAUUGGAUCCUGAAUCCCAAAUAUUACUUUAUCCCAAUACCUAUCAAAACAAGAGGGAGAUAAACAGUAAAAUCACAAAAAUACUGAACUCCGAAGAAAAUUCAAAACGGAAAGUCCCUUAUCAAAUGACAAAAUCAAAAGCUCUAACACAUUAAACAAAUGGACAACAACUGUCAUAUUCCUGAGUUGGUACAGGCAUGUUCUUAGAUAGAAAAGCCAACACAACAUACAAAUCUUGUUUUUAUUUGGCGUCAGUUCUAUCAAACUAUAUGUCAUUUAGUCUGAUAAUUUUCUUUACAUUCAUAGUAAACAUAUAUAAAUGCAUUUAAUUGGUUGCGCCUUUGACAAAAGGCAGCGAUUAGAACUUUUAGAAUUUCCCAUCUCUACCAGAGAUCAGAGAACGAGAGUGUAAACCUAGUUAAUCUUUUUAUAUGUAUUCAUUUCAGGUUUGGAGGUGAGUUAACAGGAAUUAUAACAGGAUCGCUGGCGUUCUUGUUGUUUAUCACAAUUACUCUGAUACUUGUUUGGUAUAAAUCAGAUGAUAGGAACAGAAGUAGAUGGAAAUAUAUUUCAAUAGUAUGACAUGAAAUAAGACAACCAACGACGAAACAGUUGAACAUUUUCUUCCGACUUAUUGGUGUUCACAUCGAGGCAAUGUGACAGCUGAUGAUACUUGACCAUUCUCCAAAUAGAUAUAGGAUCCAAAUGAUUAAAGACUUGCUUGGAAAUAUCAGACAAACAUUCUGUUUAAGGAGAUACAUAUCAAUGCUGAAAAGUUAUAAAAAUUGAAAAGCAAAAAUUAUAACAAUGUUCUCCAAAACAUGACAUUCUCUACUUGUAUUUUUGUCCAUCUGACGAGUUAAGCCUUUUUCAACUGAUGUUUAUAGUUCGUUCUUAUGUUGUACUGUUAUACCACUGUCCCAGGUUAGGGGAGGGUUGGGAUCCCGCUAACAUGUUUAACCCCGCCCACAUUAUUUAUGUAUGUGCCUGUCCCAAGUCAGGAGCCUGUAAUGCAGUGGUUGUCGUUUGUUUAUGUGUUACAUAUUUGUUUUUCGUUCAUUUUUUUUAUAUAAAUAAGGCCGUUAGUUUUCUCGUUUGAAUUGUUUUACAUUGUCUUAUCGGGGCCUAUGAGCUGACUAUGCGGUAUGGGCUUUGCUCAUUGUUGAAGGCCGUACGGUGACCUAUAGUUGUUAAUGUCUGUGUCAUUUUUGUCUUUUGUGGAUAGUUGUCUCAUUGGUAAUCAUACCACAUCUUCUUUUUUAUAUUUUAU